CCUACGGGUGGCAGCAGUGAGGAAUAUUGGUCAAUGGACGAGAGUCUGAACCAGCCAAGUAGCGUGAAGGAUGACUGCCCUAUGGGUUGUAAACUUCUUUUAUAAAGGAAUAAAACGAGGCACGUGUGCCUUUUUGCAUGUACUUUAUGAAUAAGGAUCGGCUAACUCCGUGCCAGCAGCCGCGGUAAUACGGAGGAUCCGAGCGUUAUCCGGAUUUAUUGGGUUUAAAGGGAGCGUAGAUGGGUUGUUAAGUCAGUUGUGAAAGUUUGCGGCUCAACCGUAAAAUUGCAAUUGAUACUGGCAGUCGUGAGUACAGUUGAGGUAGGCGGAAUGCGUGGGGUAGCGGUGAAAUGCUUAGAUAUCACGAAGAACCCCGAUUGCGAAGGCAGCUUACUAAACUGUGACUGACAUUGAUGCUCGAAAGUGUGGGUAUCAAACAGGAUUAGAUACCCUAGUAGUC
rnacentral:rRNA from 1 species